UGGCGGCGUGCUUAACACAUGCAAGUCGAACGGAAAGGCCCAAGCUUGCUUGGGUACUCGAGUGGCGAACGGGUGAGUAACACGUGGGUGAUCUGCCCUGCACUUCGGGAUAAGCCUGGGAAACUGGGUCUAAUACCGGAUAGGACCACAUUUUGGAUGGUGUGGUGGAAAGUUUUUCGGUGUGGGAUGAGCUCGCGGCCUAUCAGCUUGUUGGUGGGGUAAUGGCCUACCAAGGCGUCGACGGGUAGCCGGCCUGAGAGGGUGUACGGCCACAUUGGGACUGAGAUACGGCCCAGACUCCUACGGGAGGCAGCAGUGGGGAAUAUUGCACAAUGGGCGCAAGCCUGAUGCAGCGACGCCGCGUGGGGGAUGACGGCCUUCGGGUUGUAAACUCCUUUCGCUAGGGACGAAGCGUUAUGUGACGGUACCUGGAGAAGAAGCACCGGCUAACUACGUGCCAGCAGCCGCGGUAAUACGUAGGGUGCGAGCGUUGUCCGGAAUUACUGGGCGUAAAGAGCUCGUAGGUGGUUUGUCGCGUCGUUUGUGUAAGCCCGCAGCUUAACUGCGGGACUGCAGGCGAUACGGGCAUAACUUGAGUGCUGUAGGGGAGACUGGAAUUCCUGGUGUAGCGGUGGAAUGCGCAGAUAUCAGGAGGAACACCGAUGGCGAAGGCAGGUCUCUGGGCAGUAACUGACGCUGAGGAGCGAAA
rnacentral:rRNA from 1 species